AGCACAUGUGCUUGUGAAGGUCAAGGGACUGGCAGCAUCAGAAAUUGAAUUUCUGAAUACAUCCACAGUCCAGGCCAGAUGUAGCUCAUCACCAGUUGGAGCUGAUUUCAGAAGAGGUGUUAGAGUUUGCUAGUCCAAGAGACGAUCUGAUCCAGGCAUCAAAGGGAGCCACGAGAGAAGUGUGUACUCUCCCCCCUGCUUGCAAUUGUCUGCGGCACCGCCUGCUCACUUCUGACAGCCCCAUGCCACCCUCCCAGAGCAAGGGCUCCCACGUUCCCUUCUUCAGCCCUUCCCUCCCCAGCCCAAUCUACCAUGCUGCUGGCAGCCAGCUAAAGAGUGCAGACUUGGUGCCUGCACAAAAGUGAGGAGGAAUUACUAAUAAACACAAGCCUGUGCACUGGGAAAAUUAA